GAGGUCUGAAGUCCUCGGCCUUCCUCCUGGAGACUCUAGGGGAGAAUUUGUUCCCUUGCCUUUUCUGGUGUCCAGAGGCUGUCUGAAUUCUUUGGUUCGUGACUUCUUCCUCCAUCCUCAAAGCCAGCAAUGUAGCAUCUUUAAGUCUAGAUCUCUCUUUCUUUCUCUUGGAACACUUCUUUGUCACCUCUGUCUCUUUGGCCCGCCAAAGGAUCCUGGUGAUUGCAUUGGGGCCACUCAGAUAAGAAAAUCUCCGUAUCUAAAGAGCUUUAAUUUAAUCACAUCUACAAUGUCCCUUUUCUCCUAUAAAGUCAUAUAUUCACAGGUUUCUGGGAUUAGGACAUCUUUGGGGGGCCAUCACAUUUUCUGACUGUGUUGGUCCAUCUGUUCGGGGCCUAGCAUGUUCACCUGUACAGAGCAGGUGUUUCCUUAUAAGUUAAAUUAAAUUACAUAAUCUCUAUGAACCCACAUAAUAAAAAAAUCAGUUAUAUUAAACAUUCCUGAGUAAUAAAGUGAGGAUAAUGACUGUCUUUAUGAUGUUGGACAGGACUACUCCUUGAAAAUCAUUUCCGAGGAUUUGCAGAAUCUCCCUCUCUGGGAUGUUUAUAAUAAAAGAGCAUGGAGUUCCUGUUGUGGCUCAGUGGUUAAUGAACCCGACUAGCAUCCAUGAGGAUGUGGGUUUGAUCCCUGGCCUUGCUCAGUGGAUUGAGGAUCUGGCGUUGCCAUGAGCUGUGGUGUAGGUAGCAGACAUGUCUGGGAUCUGGCAUUGCUGUGGCUGUGGUGUAGGCUGGCGGCUACAGCUCCUAUUCAGCCCCUAGCCCGGGAACCUCCAUAUGCCGUGGGUGCGGCCCUAAGGAAACAAACAAACGAAAAGGGCAGACUUCUAGUUUUCUCUGCAUCAGAGGAAUAGGCCCAUGCCUCUUUUUUUGUGUGGGUGUUUUUGUUGAGUCAGUAUGGUUGGGUUAAAAAUCACAGUCAGAUUGGAGUCUGGAUUCAAGAACAGUUAAUCAAAGCAGGAAGUUAUCAGAAAUCAGGGUCAGGUUAAUAGACCAAGGUCAGAAACAUGGAGCUACAGUCCUGGGGAAAAGGAUCUCCUGGCAGGAAGUGAGAUUCAAAACACAUUAAGCCUUAGCCUGAUUGACCAGCCAAAUAAAAGCCCCAGGCUGGCAUUUGGGAGAGGCCAUGCCCCAGGGCUGGUCUAAGGGGGACCUGGCUGCCUGUCACUUUCUUCCCCUCUGAUCAUGAGUAUGUAUUCUCAUUGCUCCAAACUGCCUGUGUGCCAAGCCUGUUGGGGAGAGGGUUGCACUAGACAUCAUAUGACUUGACUUUCUGUGACCAGUCCUAGUUUAGCAACUCUUGAUUGUACAUGUAAAUCAAAGGAAGCAGUAAAAGUCUUCAGUAUUUGGCUUUAUAUAGCACCAACCAUUCUGAGGUCAAUGUAGUGUAUUUUAGGUAGUCUGGAAGUAUUUUGGCCAAAUCCAGCAAAUAAGCCUGAAAUUGUGUGAAGUUGCCACUGAUGAUUCAAACGAGGCAAUCAAGAUAAUCAGGAAUUGACUCUGUUAAAUUAGUCCUCACUUUGAAUCUGGCUCCCCAAGGAUCUUCAGAGAGAGGUCCUUAGAAAGCCGUGAUGGACAUCGGGUCCCCGCUGUUAAUUCAGAACGUGUGAUCUGUUGGUACGGUGUUGAUUUGAACUUGCUUAGUUGAAGCAGUGCUUUUGAAACUUUAAUGUUCGUCACAAUGAUGUGGAAGGUUUGGUAAAAACACAUAUUGUAGCCCCAACCCUAUUAUAUACAGUUUUGCUUAGCAUUGAGUAGAAGCUUUAGAAAUAUUAUUAAUCAAGGGUCUCUUUGACUAGAUCCUCUUUCUAGGAUGUGACUAUUUUGGACAUCUUCAAGAUCUUAUUAGCUGGCAAUAGCUUGAUUAAUGGUAAGCAGAUACCACUGUGGCUAGACGUUACCAGAAUUUGCUAUUGAGCAAUCCAGUUCUCCUUGCUAGAUUUACCUUCUUGUCAAGUGAAUAACUGAUAGAAAUUAAACCUUGAGUCUUGCUAUAGGCAGUAAAAAGAUCCCUUCGUGGUAUCUAAGACACAUGAAGAAACCAAGAAUGAGCCCCUAAGUGUAUUUUCUGAUCACCAAACAAAUUAAUAAAGAAUUUCACUCACCUUCUUUCGUAUAAUUCACCAUGGCCAGUCCUCCAGGCAAAUCCUAUUUACUUGAUAGGUUUUUUACAAUUCCCUAAAACAUGAAGAGUGUGUUUUGUUGUUUGUGAAAAUUAGGUAUGGGAUUUCUGACAUAAUCAGCUUUAUUGGUGUCUGGAGAAUUGUUUUAAUGAUCUGCCUGAUAGUGAAGUUUCAUGGAAUCAUCCAUCAGCUUGUGUAGAACAGCUUUUAUGACCUGAGGGACAAUGAGUAGGAAGCAAGGCUUAACUGGGUAGCAUGUAUGAAGCAUCUGCCAGAAUCAAGGCCCUGUGUUAGCUGCUGGGUACCAGGUAAGGAGCAAGUGUUAUAGUAAGGACAAAAAGGCAUCCACCCAAGUUAACCGUUCCGUGGUGUCUGUUAUUUGAACUAUAAUCUAGUGGAACCGAAAGCAAGGGCUGAAAGGCCAGGGGGAGACAGAGAUCACUGUGCACUUUUAACGAGAUAAGAAGGCUCUUGUGAGGCUCCCUGGAAAGAAGGGAUUUAGAGAAAGAGAAGGGUGCCCAGGAAGCACUCCAGGAUGGAUAUCCCGGAACUUGGGGGUGCAUAGGUCUACCAGAGCUAUUGGCAGCACCCUAUCUCUGAGGCCGGAAGCACGGGCAAAGCAAACCAGGUCCAGAGCUGUACAUGUUUUUUCCUACUUAACCUUUACCGCCACCCUAAAGUUAUGAAUCCCAUUUUAAUAGAUGUGGAAACUGACUCAGGGAGGAUGGGUAACUUGCCUAAGGGCCUCCCAGAUCUGGAGGAGCCAGGAUUUGAACCCACAACUGCCUGACUGCAAAGUCCAUGCCCUUUCUUAUGCUCACCGUGCCACAAAGAAGCCACUGCAGAUUCAGGCCCCCAGGAAGAGGUCCUUUGUUGAUUCCCGAAAUUUUCAGUAGGCAUAGGAGCCUUGCUGUGUCUCCUGUCUUUUUCAUUAUUCUGCCCCUCUGCUUCAGGCACCCACUUUUGCAAUCACUUCAUGUGAAUUAAAUGAAUUCAUUGAUCCACUCAUUCAAUAAAUAUUUAUCAAUGGCCUCCUCCGUGUCAGGCACUGUACUAGGAGCAGGGGAUACAAGUGAAAACCGAAGCCAACCAAAAUUCUUGCCCUCAUGGAACUUACAUAUGAGUGAGUAAAUGAAUGAGCAGAUGGACAGGAAGUGGCUGUGGGAGAUUUUUAAUCUCAAUUCUAACACUAACUGGAAGCUCUCCGUGGGACCAGCCAGGCUAAACCAUCUCAGAGUAUUCUCUGGACAUGGACCCUGGCUUCUCUACCAGCUCUUUUGUAGGGAUUCAGAGGGGUUUUCUUCUUGUCUGUAGUAUAGCUGCUGUCUCUGUGGUAGGCUAUUGCUUUGCUUCUGAUGUCUAUGGCAUACCUUCUGGCAAUCAUAAUAGCACCUGCUCUCCCAUUGACCUGUAAUUCUUCAGGGCAUUCAUUGGGCUGCUGAUGGCAUCUUCAGGAGGCUUCUGCUGAGACGUCUGAAGUGUCUACAUGUGCCUCACCUCACCAUCACCCAUACUGGAACUGCCAGUUGACUCCUCUUUCCUCCCCAAAACUGAAUCUUCCCUGAGCACAGAGGCUCAUUUUGGUAUCCCUAAUGGCUAGCACUGUAUCUGGUACAUAGUAUGGCCCAACAAAUAUUUGUAAAAUGAAUGAAUCAGUUAAUCCUUCAAAAUGUCUUCAGACUCACUGGUAUCAAGUGUAUCAACAGUUGCAUUUAGAUUGUACCCAAACUCUGUCUUUGUGAUACCCAGACUGUCAUCAGUCAUUUACUUAAAUGGUUCCUUUUCACCAUUCUUGGAUGAAGGUGAUUAGUUUCAAAUAUUAAUAUCUGAGGUAUCUUUGAAAAGAGGAACUAGAAGUUGUGUAUGUUGCUCAUAAAUUUGUUUCAUGAUGAAAAGCAUUCCCAAACCAUGUCUAUGCAAUGAUAAGCCAACACUUUACAGGGAAUAAGCUGAUGUUUGUUGUAUUUUGCUUGCCUCUUUCUACUCCACAUUAUUUUUUUUUUUAAUUAUUUUCCCACUUACAUUGGGCUUGAUUGCAAGUAUUUUCUUGUGAGGCAUUUUUAUUCCAAAUAUGCCUACCAAACCUGCAUUGCCACCAAACCUUCACUUAAGAGCUUUUUGUUGAUGUCAUCUGCUUCAUUGCAGACUUUUAUGAUCAUCUCUAUAAAUAGCAAGAGAACAUUUCUAAUGUUUUUCAGUGGCUCCUUAAUUUUAAAAUUUUCUUAUAGACUAAUGUCAAUUGGGAUUGAGGGCAAGAAGGUACUAGCGGGAGAUUCAGACUCAGUCCAUAUUGACAUAUUUAGUACUGUGCUAGCUGCAUUCACAUGACAUCUAUUGAGCUGGGCUCUGUUACUGUAAGAUCAAGGAAAAUGAGGUUUAGAGAAGUUGAUUCCUUUUUUUAUUUUGGGGUGCUCCUGUGGUAUGUGAAAAUUUCUAGACCAGGGAUUGAACCUGUGCCAUAGCAGCAACCUAAGCCGCUGAAGUGACACCAGAUCCUUAACCUGCUGCACCACAAGGGAACUCCAAAGAAGUUGACUCUUAUCCUGAGUCAUAUUUAUGAUGGACUGGGGACGCAAACUGAAAAUUCUUUAUUUAAGCCCAAGAAAUAUCUGCUGUGAGAAGGAGUAACUUAAAAAAGUAAAAGUAUCCCCUAUUUGAAAAUGAAAACAGCUAAUAAAUAUGUUUUUAUUAUUUUUAAGUAUUAAUUUUGUCCUUCCAGAUGGGCAAAGAUUAAGACAGUUGACAGGAAUAUGGGCAAAUGGGCAUUCUCGUCCACUGUUGGCAGGAGUAGGAAUUGGCACAACCUCUCUAGAAGGCAACAUGUAUCAAAACUUUAAACGUUAAUACCAGACAUAGAGAACAGACUUGGGUUGCCAAGGGAAAGGCGGUGGGAGUGGAUGGCCUGGGGGUUUGGGGUUAGUGGAUGCAAGCUAUUACAUUUAGAAUGGAUAAGCACUGAGGUCCUGCAGUAUAGUGCAGGGAACUAUAUCCAGUCUCUUGGGGUAGACCGUGAUGGAAGAUAAGAAAGGGUAUGUAUAUGUAUAUGUGCGUGACUGGGUCUCUUUGCUGUACAGCAGAAAUUGGCACAACAUUGUACAUCCACUAUACUUUAAUCCAAAAAAAAAAAAACUUUAAAUGGUGAUACCCUUUUAUCCAGCAGUUUAUUUAGGAAUUUAUCCUAAUGAUUAAAAAUAUCACAAGUGUGAAAGGUGAAGCUGUACUUUUUAAUGUUUAUGAUGUUAAUGUAUUGGAAACAGGCUAAAUAUCCUUCAAUAGAAGAUGGGUUAAAUAAAUUAUAGCACAAAUACAUAGUUGUUUGCAACUGUCUAAUUAAAAACUAUUUAGGUUUGUGUUUAUUGCCAUGGAAAAAUCUAUCCCUGAAAUAUUAUUGAAUGAAAAAGCAGACCACAGAAUAGCAUAUUUGAUAUGGCCCCAUUUAUAACAUUAGAUAUUGUUAAAUAAUAUAUUUCAAAGGGAAAUCUUUACUAAAAAAAUUAAUGGUUUGUUUCUGGGCUGUGGUGUCUGGGUGAACUUUACUUUCUUUAGACUUUUGUGUAUUUGAAAUUUUUUGUAAUGAGUAUGUAUUGCUUUUAUUAUCAUAAAACAAUAAAGCUAUUUUUAUUUU
ensembl:lncRNA